UACGUAGGGGGCUAGCGUUAUCCGGAAUUACUGGGCGUUAAGGGUGCGUAGGUGGUUUCUUAAGUCAGAGGUGAAAGGCUACGGCUCAACCGUAGUAAGCCUUUGAAACUGAGAAACUUGAGUGCAGGAGAGGAGAGUAGAAUUCCUAGUGUAGCGGUGAAAUGCGUAGAUAUUAGGAGGAAUACCAGUUGCGAAGGCGGCUCUCUGGACUGUAACUGACACUGAGGCACGAAAGCGUGGGGAGCAAACAGG
rnacentral:rRNA from 1 species